rnacentral:rRNA from 1 species
UGCAAGUCGAACGAUGAUGCCCAGCUUGCUGGGCGGAUUAGUGGCGAACGGGUGAGUAAUACGUGAGUAACCUGCCCUUGACUCUGGGAUAAGCCUGGGAAACUGGGUCUAAUACUGGAUACUACCUCUUACCGCAUGGUGGGUGGUGGAAAGGGUUUUACUGGUUUUGGAUGGGCUCACGGCCUAUCAGCUUGUUGGUGGGGUAAUGGCUCACCAAGGCGACGACGGGUAGCCGGCCUGAGAGGGUGACCGGCCACACUGGGACUGAGACACGGCCCAGACUCCUACGGGAGGCAGCAGUGGGGAAUAUUGCACAAUGGGCGGAAGCCUGAUGCAGCGACGCCGCGUGAGGGAUGACGGCCUUCGGGUUGUAAACCUCUUUCAGUAGGGAAGAAGCGAGAGUGACGGUACCUGCAGAAGAAGCGCCGGCUAACUACGUGCCAGCAGCCGCGGUAAUACGUAGGGCGCAAGCGUUGUCCGGAAUUAUUGGGCGUAAAGAGCUCGUAGGCGGUUUGUCGCGUCUGCUGUGAAAGCCCGGGGCUCAACCCCGGGUCUGCAGUGGGUACGGGCAGACUAGAGUGCAGUAGGGGAGACUGGAAUUCCUGGUGUAGCGGUGAAAUGCGCAGAUAUCAGGAGGAACACCGAUGGCGAAGGCAGGUCUCUGGGCUGUUACUGACGCUGAGGAGCGAAAGCAUGGGGAGCGAACAGGAUUAGAUACCCUGGUAGUCCAUGCCGUAAACGUUGGGCACUAGGUGUGGGGGACAUUCCACGUUUUCCGCGCCGUAGCUAACGCAUUAAGUGCCCCGCCUGGGGAGUACGGCCGCAAGGCUAAAACUCAAAGGAAUUGACGGGGGCCCGCACAAGCGGCGGAGCAUGCGGAUUAAUUCGAUGCAACGCGAAGAACCUUACCAAGGCUUGACAUUCACCGGACCGCCCCAGAGAUGGGGUUUCCCUUCGGGGCUGGUGGACAGGUGGUGCAUGGUUGUCGUCAGCUCGUGUCGUGAGAUGUUGGGUUAAGUCCCGCAACGAGCGCAACCCUCGUUCUAUGUUGCCAGCACGUGAUGGUGGGGACUCAUAGGAGACUGCCGGGGUCAACUCGGAGGAAGGUGGGGAUGACGUCAAAUCAUCAUGCCCCUUAUGUCUUGGGCUUCACGCAUGCUACAAUGGCCGGUACAAAGGGUUGCGAUACUGUGAGGUGGAGCUAAUCCCAAAAAGCCGGUCUCAGUUCGGAUUGAGGUCUGCAACUCGACCUCAUGAAGUCGGAGUCGCUAGUAAUCGCAGAUCAGCAACGCUGCGGUGAAUACGUUCCCGGGCCUUGUACACACCGCCCGUCAAGUCACGAAAGUUGGUAACACCCGAAGCCGGUGGCCUAACCCC